ACCGUUCAUCUCCCCCAAAUGCUCAAUUAAGAGGGAUGCGUUCAGGCGUUUGAGGAAGACGGAAGUAGGGAAUUUUCCCGAAGGAACGCACA
rnacentral:ncRNA from 1 species